GGUGUGUGACUGAUUGUUGUGUUUGUUUGCGUGGCCGUAUGGGCGGAAGAGUGAGCCACGAGGCUGCCGGGGUGCGCGUGAGGACAAAUAUAAAAUGGGCAGGUGACAGUAAAUGUCCCUGCUGACAGAGAGUGCUGGAGCUGGAAUGCAAUUAGUCCAGAUUAGUCACAGUGGCCUUCUGUGCUGAACCCCCACCUCUACACCACCUUCCGCAUAAGGACCGCAACACCUGUCUCCUAGCAACCUGCAUCCAGAUCUCAGGCAAGGGAUGCUGCCUCUGACACAAGAAUGACAAGACGCACAUUCUCUGGUUCAGACAUCCAGGAGCUUGAUGGUGUAAUGGUGCCACGGGUGAGCAGUGGACAAAGCACUGGAAUGCUGGAUUUCAAUAGGAGCGCACUUGGAAUGCUAGGACUGGAAUUUUAUUAUUCUAUUUACAAUGCAAAUGUGUUCUGAAGCCAGUUCAUAUUACUGGCACAGACAAACAUUUAAGCUACAGCUCUCUGCUAGUUGGACAACAUACAGUAUGAAGGUUCAAAACAAAUAAAAGGAAAAUUAUUAAAAAAAUGUAGCUUCAAACAUGUGACAGAUUCUUAAAAAUAAUUAUUCAUAUAAGUUUCAUAUGGUUUGGAAAAUCUUUUAUGAUAUUUUCAAGAAAAAAAUAGGAAACACUUUAGUAUAAGGACUCAUUUUAAUCAUUAGUUGCUUAUUAGCAUGCCUAUUAUUAACAAACUACAUUUAACAACUACAUUACUAACUAUUAAUAAGCAGCAAAUUAGUAAUGUAUUUAGGCAAAGUUUGUAACUAAUGGUUUGUUAUUAGUCUGAAUUGGACCUUAACAUAAAGUGUGACUAAAAAUAAAAUCUAAAAACCACCAAU